rnacentral:rRNA from 1 species
GACGAACGCUGGCGGCGUGCCUAAUACAUGCAAGUUGAGCGAUGAAGAUUGGUGCUUGCACCAAUUUGCAGAGCAGCGAACGGGUGAGUAACGCGUGGGGAAUCUGCCUUUGAGCGGGGGACAACAUUUGGAAACGAAUGCUAAUACCGCAUAACAACUUUAAACAUAAGUUUUAAGUUUGAAAGAUGCAAUUGCAUCACUCAAAGAUGAUCCCGCGUUGUAUUAGCUAGUUGGUGAGGUAAAGGCUCACCAAGGCGAUGAUACAUAGCCGACCUGAGAGGGUGAUCGGCCACAUUGGGACUGAGACACGGCCCAAACUCCUACGGGAGGCAGCAGUAGGGAAGCUUCGGCAAUGGACGAAAGUCUGACCGAGCAACGCCGCGUGAGUGAAGAAGGUUUUCGGAUCGUAAAACUCUGUUGGUAGAGAAGAACGUUGGUGAGAGUGGAAAGCUCAUCAAGUGACGGUAACUACCCAGAAAGGGACGGCUAACUACGUG